GCGUCCGGCGUGUGGUUGUUUCAGUUGUUUGAGCGCCUAUCGUCGGUGCUCGUGCGCAGUGUCGAUGCAUUUGCUGGUGGUGUGCGCCGGAACACCUGGUGCAGUGGCGCGAUCUCGUCUCAGAGGCCAGCGUGCUCACGCGCGUUGGAACCCGGGGCGGGGGAUGUGCCAUUUGUGCUGGGUGCGUACCGGGGAGCAAGGCUCAUGCGCGUUCGGGUCGGCGUCGAGCUGUUUGCUGGUGGCGGUCGCGUGCGACACGUGCCGGUCAGCGGUUUGGCACGGCUUGCAAUGCGCUGCUCCGUAUUCUCGGUGUAAAAGCCGGUCAUCUAUCCGACCCGUCUUGAAACACGGACCAAGGAGUUUAGCGUGUGCGCGAGUCAUUGGGCGUUGAAAACCCAAAGGCGCAAUGAAAGUGAAGGCACCCGCAAGGGGCUGACGUGUGAUCGCGGCGCAUUCGUGCGCUGCGAGCAACAUGGUCCCGUUCCAACCGCAUGCGGUGGGGCGGAGACAGAGCGAACGCGCUGAGACCCGAAAGAUGGUGAACUAUUCCUGAGCAGGACGAAGCCAGGGGAAACUCUGGUGGAAGUCCGAAGCGAUUCUGACGUGCAAAUCGAUCGUCUGAC
rnacentral:rRNA from 1 species